UAAAAUCCUCAAUUCGGUUGUCAGAUCUCACAGCUGCGGGAAGAGUGGAAGACGAAGAAGAGUAGAUAGAAUACACCCUCGUCCUCAGGUGGUGAUUUCCAAUAGAGCCGAAUCAUUGUCUACUUGAAUCUCCGUCUAUUCUCUCAAAUCCAGUGACAUAUAUGCACACAUAUACGGUAUGUGUGGACAAAUGUCUGGCGAUCUGACCUGGGUUUGUGUGCUUAUAUUAGAUUGAUUGUUCCUUGUGUUUCAAUUCAUCGUAUCUCAGAAAAUGGUGGAGGGAACCUAAAUCUGUAGCCUUUUCCUUUGCGAGAUAGAGAAUGACAAGGAAAUAAAUAGAUUGUUUUUCCUGAACUUUUUUGUUUUGAUGAUCUGUAUUGAUAAGUAUCUAAUUUCCCUUCUUGUAAGAAAUUGUACCAUCAUAGCUCCAGAAUUGUUUGGUUUUUCUUGAUGUAUUUAUGUUUUGCUAAUUUCUGUUUGCUAUUGAUAAUGAUUGGUGCUAUGUAUUUCAAGGAGCACUAGAAAACCUACAUUAUUAGAGCUUUAGCCAAAAUCGUUGGAGGGCCUUCUCAGUUAAGGCUAUAUGAAGUUUCCUAGUGCCUAGUUGGUGACAAUAUGACAGCUUUGUAUGUGAGGUGUGAACCUGGUAAAUAAGCUUAUAAUUUAUAAAGGUGGGUUAGGUGCUCUUUAUUAAGAUUCUAAGAGUGCAUGUUUAUAACCAAACCGUAUGAAAGCAAGCCUUGAUUCUGUUAAAUGAAAUGUGACAGUGUUUAUUGUCCUUUUCUCCAUGCUGGAUUCUUCUUUUCAAGAUACUAAAUUUUCAAGUUAGUUAUGCGAUGCAUUGUCUUUAUCAAUUGGUAUAAUUAGGCUUGUUGCUUCCAACUCAUAGAUGGAUAUGCAAGGAGAUGGGACAAGUAAGGUUAGCGAGAAAGGAGGAAAAAAAAAAAAUAGUGAAUGAUGGUAAGAAUACAGCUUGAAACUCUGCUAAGUCAGAUGAUUUAGCGCACUUUUAAUUUAUAGAGUUGUUAGAAAAAGAAAUUGAGAAAGGAAAUAGGUCGGGGUGUUUCAUAAAUAAAUCCGAUUGGAAAUGUUUGGUCAAAAAUUUAAUCAGAGGGGAGAGAGAUGUUAUGAUAAUAAACAAAUAAAUAACCAUUGGAUUGUUACAAAAAGGAAUGGACACCUUUUAAGCAAAUGAUGCAAGGAGAAUCAGAGUUGGGUUGAGAUGAAACUGACAGAUAAUGAUUGGUGGGAGAAGAAGGUAUUUUCUUAACUUCUUUUCACAUGAUUAGUUAUCUUCCAAUUGCCGAUAUACAAUUGACAAAUAUGCUAUCUUAUGUUUUACAGGAAAAUCCAGGUUUCAAGAAGUUCAGGAACAAAGAUUUAUCCCUCAUAUGGUUCCAUUAUAGUGCAUUAUUGGACACUGUAGCUACUGGUGAUCAUGCACAAGCACCGAGUCAGCACAAGGUACCCACCAAACUGCCAAAUACUGGAAAUUAUGAGGAUGCAAAUGAGGAGCAAGGUGAUAGUGGGGACCCUGCUAAUUGGGAAGAAAGUGAUAAUGACUAAUUUGUAGAUGCCCAUGUACCAACAACUGGUGAUUAAUCAAUUGUGUUUCCACCUCCAAGCUUCAACCAUGGGAGAACAGUGGAGGGUAAGGAUCUUGAUAAAAAAAAAGGAAAUUGUCUGAUGCUGCUUCAUUGAGGAAUGACAUUCAUAACCUUCUACGAGUGAUGUCCAAGAUCACAGCUACUUCGUCUGUUGAAGGACCAUCGGAGUCUAGCAUCCCAAAAUGCAUACCCAUACUACAAAACCUCCCCAUUCAGAUAGGGGGUGUACUGUGGAAUCAUCAUGGAAGCUACAUGUAGGCUGAAAUUGAAUUUUUCCUUCCAAGAUGGGAAAAAUAUUACCUACUUGAUGUAAGUUAUUUUCAUAGGACUAGAUUCAGGGGGUCUUUAUGAAGAUGAAAAUAUAAAAUAUUAUUUAUAAGA